AAUUUCAUUGCUGGCACCUGAUGACUCGAAAGGUAGAUGGGGACAGAAGGCAUUCAAGUGGACGAGACUCUACAACAAGUGAUGGGUCAACAUUCUUAUCUGAGCGCACUGGGACACUGGGUACACAGCCUUUGCGAGGGAGCUCUCGGGCUUGAAAACAGGGGCAGCGGCUUAACUUCUGCGAUCUUAGCAAAGGUGUUUUCCGGCAAAGAGAAGACUAGAUCGGAUAUUAGUGAAGUUAAAGAUAUUCGUUGGUACCGAAGAAGCUGUUAGGUGACUGAUGCGAUUGAGAUGUUGGUCUGUAUGUCACAUAGAGUUUAAGUAGAGGGAUUCAAAUGAAAACCAAUGAAGUGCAAACAUCAACGCUGACGCCACCGAUUUAGCGGCCACAUGUUAUCUUGUUCUUUGCAGAUCGGCUGGAUUUAUGGAUCGGUUACAGAGGAUAUCUUAACGGGAUUCAAGAUGCAUUGUAGGGGAUGGAGAACGAUAUACUGCAUGCCAGUAAGACCUGCAUUUAAAGGUUCGGCUCCUAUCAACUUAUCAGAUCGGUUGCACCAGGUUUUGAGGUGGGCCCUUGGAUCGGUUGAGCUCUUUUUGAGUAGGAAUUGCCCGUUGUGGUAUGGUUGGGGUGCCGGCCGCUUUAAGUUGCUUUAACGACUUGCGUAUAUAAUUAACACCAUUGUUUAUGCGUUCACAUCUCUCCCUCUUGUUGCAUACUGCACAUUGCCCGCCAUCUACCUUCUGACCGGAAAAUUCAUCAUCCCAACGGUGAUGGCUAUGACACGGAGCAACAUAUGCAAAAACGGGAUGAUUUCU
rnacentral:lncRNA from 1 species